GGGGAUGUAGCUCAGGGGUAGAGGCUUGUCUAGCAGACACAAGGCCCUGGAUUCAAUCCCCAGCACCACCA
rnacentral:tRNA from 1 species